CUUUUUGGUGCAGAUAUGGAUUGUCCUCUUCUAAACUUUUUUCCUCCCCUAUCUUCAAGACACAGGUGCUCCUCCCAAACAAACCCCAACACCUCCUCCUCCACCCCUUUUUCUCCUCCCAGCCGCCACCUCCCACCGGCGGCACUCUCUCACCGGCGCCACUCUCCACAUCGCCCCCACCUCCCACCGUCCACCCUCCCAUUGCCGUUCUCCAUCGCCGCCACCUAACCCCGUCGACCCUCGCACCGCUAUUCUCCAUCUCCGCCACCUCACCCCGUACACCCUCUCCUCUCCUCCCUCAACAUCGCCACUCCACUCUUCUCCUCUCCUCCCUCAACAGCAAGCAACAAUCGAUCAUCUCCCUCCACAUCAGCAAUCGGUUGUAAUUAUGGCUAUAGAGGCUGAAUGAUGAACAUCGGCUGGUGUAAAUAAUCAGGCAUCAGGAGUUUUGUCACUUUGUGCACAGGUAUUUAUAGUCGCGUAUGUGUAUACAUUCGGCUGUGAGCAUAAUCUUCAGAGAUAAUCAAUUGGAAUCUGGUUACGCCUUGUGUGGGAAUUGUUGUAUUUUGGUGUUAAAUUUUUGGAAUUUGUUGGUAGUUUGUUGAAUUUCAGAAAUUUCAGUAUUGUAUAACGAUUUUAAGUUUGAAUGUUGAAAGACUCUCUUAAGUUUAAUAAAUUUUAUUUAUAUUUCA